CCUACGGGUGGCAGCAGUGGGGAAUAUUGCACAAUGGGCGCAAGCCUGAUGCAGCCAUGCCGCGUGUGUGAAGAAGGCCUUCGGGUUGUAAAGCACUUUCAGCGGGGAGGAAGGCGGUGAGGUUAAUAACCUUAGCGAUUGACGUUACCCGCAGAAGAAGCACCGGCUAACUCCGUGCCAGCAGCCGCGGUAAUACGGAGGGUGCAAGCGUUAAUCGGAAUUACUGGGCGUAAAGCGCACGCAGGCGGUCUGUCAAGUCGGAUGUGAAAUCCCCGGGCUCAACCUGGGAACUGCAUUCGAAACUGGCAGGCUAGAGUCUUGUAGAGGGGGGUAGAAUUCCAGGUGUAGCGGUGAAAUGCGUAGAGAUCUGGAGGAAUACCGGUGGCGAAGGCGGCCCCCUGGACAAAGACUGACGCUCAGGUGCGAAAGCGUGGGGAGCAAACAGGAUUAGAUACCCCAGUAGUC
rnacentral:rRNA from 1 species